rnacentral:SRP_RNA from 1 species
GCCAGGUGUGGUGGUGCAUGCCUGUAAUCCUAGCUACUCAGGAGGCUGAGGCAGGAGAAUUGCUUGAACCUGGGAGGUGGAGGUUGCAGUGAGCUGAGAUGGCACCACUGCACUCCAGCCCGGGUGACAGAGCGAGACUCUGUCUCAG